CAGAGUAAAAGAAUACGCGUUAAGUGUUUGCUGUACGGGGAGUUGACAGCAGGACGAAAGGGCUGCGCGCACGCGCCUGUUUUUUCUUUUAUCCGACACAUGAGUUCGAGAUAAAGAAAUGCGCACACGCGCCCCUGCGGUGUAUUCUUUGCAUCCCGCUGU
rnacentral:ncRNA from 1 species